UAGAGUUUGAUCAUGGCUCAGGAUGAACGCUAGCGACAGGCUUAACACAUGCAAGUCGAGGGGCAGCGGGGAGGUAGCAAUACUUCCGCCGGCGACCGGCGCACGGGUGAGUAACACGUAUGGAACCUGCCCGUAGCAGGGGGAUAAACGGAAGAAAUUCCGUCUAAUACCGCGUAAUAACUCCGAGAGGCAUCUCAUGGAGUUUAAAGGGUAACACCGGCUACGGAUGGCCAUGCGGCGCAUUAGCUAGUUGGCGGGGUAACGGCCCACCAAGGCGACGAUGCGUAGGGGUUCUGAGAGGAAGGUCCCCCACACUGGUACUGAGACACGGACCAGACUCCUACGGGAGGCAGCAGUGAGGAAUAUUGGUCAAUGGGCGCGAGCCUGAACCAGCCAAGUCGCGUGAGGGAAGACGGUCCUAUGGAUUGUAAACCUCUUUUGUCGGGGAGCAAAAGACGCCACGUGUGGCGUUCCGAGAGUACCCGAAGAAAAAGCAUCGGCUAACUCCGUGCCAGCAGCCGCGGUAAUACGGAGGAUGCGAGCGUUAUCCGGAUUUAUUGGGUUUAAAGGGUGCGCAGGCGGAAGAUCAAGUCAGCGGUAAAAUUGAGAGGCUCAACCUCUUCGAGCCGUUGAAACUGGGUGCCUUGAGUGGGCGAGAAGUACGCGGAAUGCGUGGUGUAGCGGUGAAAUGCAUAGAUAUCACGCAGAACUCCGAUUGCGAAGGCAGCGUACCGGCGCCCAACUGACGCUGAAGCACGAAGGCGUGGGUAUCGAACAGGAUUAGAUACCUUGGUAGUCCACGCAGUAAACGAUGAAUGCUAGUUGUCCGGGGCGAUUGAGUUCUGGGUGACACAGCGAAAGCGUUAAGCAUUCCACCUGGGGAGUACGCCGGCAACGGUGAAACUCAAAGGAAUUGACGGGGGCCCGCACAAGCGGAGGAACAUGUGGUUUAAUUCGAUGAUACGCGAGGAACCUUACCCGGGCUCAAACGCCGAAGGAACAUUCCCCGAAAGGGGAAUGGCCAGCAAUGGUCUUCGGCGAGGUGCUGCAUGGUUGUCGUCAGCUCGUGCCGUGAGGUGUCGGCUUAAGUGCCAUAACGAGCGCAACCCCCACCGACAGUUGCUAACUGGUCAAGCAGAGGACUCUGUCGGGACUGCCGGCGCAAGCUGCGAGGAAGGCGGGGAUGACGUCAAAUCAGCACGGCCCUUACGUCCGGGGCGACACACGUGUUACAAUGGCAGGUACAGCGGGAUGCCAUGGGGCGACCCAGAGCGGAACCCGAAAACCUGUCUCAGUUCGGAUUGGAGUCUGCAACCCGACUCCAUGAAGCUGGAUUCGCUAGUAAUCGCGCAUCAGCCACGGCGCGGUGAAUACGUUCCCGGGCCUUGUACACACCGCCCGUCAAGCCAUGGAAGCCGGGGGUGCCUGAAGUGCGUGACCGCAAGGAGCGCCCUAGGGUAAAACCGGUGACUGGGGCUAAGUCGUAACAAGGUAACCGUA
rnacentral:rRNA from 1 species